rnacentral:rRNA from 1 species
GAUACCGGCUUCAAGCUGUGGUACACGGGGAUGGCUGCAAACAGAAAUGGCGUAGGCAUCUUGAUCAACAAGAGCCUCAAGUAUGGAGUGGUAGACGUCAGGAGGCGUGGGGACCGGAUUAUCCUGGUCAAGCUGGUAGCUGAGGACUUGGUUCUCAAUGUUAUCAGCGCAUAUGCCCCGCAAGUAGGCCACAAUGAGAACACCAAGAGGGAGUUCUGGGAAGGCUUGGAAGACAUGGUUAGGAGUGUACCGAUUGGUGAGAAGCUCUUCAUAGGAGGAGACCUCAAUGGCCAUGUGGGUACAUCUAACACAGGUUUUGAAGGGGCGCAUGGGGGCUUUGGCUAUGGCAUCAGGAAUCAAGAAGGAGAAGAUGUCUUAAGGUUUGCUCUAGCCUACAACAUGAUUGUAGCUAACACCCUCUUUAGAAAGAGAGAAUCACAUCUGGUGACUUUUAGUAGUGGCCAACACUCUAGCCAGAUUGAUUUCAUCCUCUCGAGAAGAGAAGAUAGGCGUGCGUGCCUAGACUGUAAGGUGAUACCUGGGAGAGUGUUGUACCCCAGCAUAAGCUGGUGGUUGCUGACUUCCGCUUUCGGAUUCGUGUCCAGCGGGAUA